UAUUCAUCCUGUCUCUGUGCCAAUGGGAGAAAGACCUUUAAAUGGGUGUUUACGGCUUCUGUACUCGGACCUAUCAAUGUGACUGUCAGUGCUUCAGCUGAACCAUCCCGGACUCUAUGUGGCACUGAGGUCGUGACCGUGCCAACGAGGGGACGCACUGAUGUAGUCACUCGAAGUCUACUUGUUCUGCCUGAAGGAGUUGAAAGGACAAACACCCACAGUUGGUUACUGUGUCCAAAGGGAAACCUUCUUUCUGAAGACGUGAACCUGACGUUUCCAACAAAUGUGGUUCAGGGAUCAGCCAGAUGCUCAGUUUCAGUCCUUGGUAAAGCA